GGCGGUUCUCAGGUGACACACCCCGGAAUCGGGCUCCCUCCUCUCUGGUUCUGGGUGCAUCACCCAAGAACUGCA
rfam:Myotis brandtii contig284439, whole genome shotgun sequence.